rnacentral:tRNA from 1 species
CAGGGCGGUGGGGCAGGGGCCCGCUUCCUUUCCCGGGGGGAUGAUACUCCGCGUCCGGGGCGCGGCGCGCCGCC